AACGAACGCUGGCGGCAUGCCUAACACAUGCAAGUCGAACGAGACCUUCGGGUCUAGUGGCGCACGGGUGCGUCACGCGUGGGAACCUGCCCUUAGGUUCGGAAUAACUCCCCGAAAGGGGUGCUAAUACCGGAUAAUGUCUUCGGACCAAAGAUUUAUCGCCUUUGGAUGGGCCCGCGUUGGAUUAGCUAGUUGGUAGGGUAAAAGCCUCCCAAGGCGACGAUCCAUAGCUGGUCUGAGAGGAGGAUCAGCCACACUGGGACUGAGACACGGCCCAGACUCCUACGGGAGGCAGCAGUGGGGAAUAGUGGACAAUGGGCGAAAGCCUGAUCCAGCAAUGCCGCGUGAGUGAUGAAGGCCUUAGGGUUGUAAAGCUCUUUUACCCGGGAUGAUAAUGACAGUACCGGGAGAAUAAGCUCCGGCUAACUCCGUG
rnacentral:rRNA from 1 species